GAGUAUGAGGUAGAUAGGCUUAAGGUGUAAGCACAGCAAUGUGUUCAGCUGAUAAGUACUAAUCGGUCGAGGGCUUAACCAC
rnacentral:rRNA from 1 species